GGAAUAUUGGGCAAUGGAGGAAACUCUGACCCAGCGACGCCGCGUGCAGGAUGAAGGCCUUCGGGUUGUAAACCGCUUUCAGUAGGGAAGAAGCGAAAGUGACGGUACCUACAAAAGAAGCACCGGCUAACUAUGUGCCAGCAGCCGCGGUAAUACAUAGGGUGCAAGCGUUGUCCGGAAUUAUUGGGCGUAAAGAGCUCGUAGGUCGUUUGUUACGUCGGAUGUGAAAACCUGAGGCUCAACCUCAGGCCUGCAUUCGAUACGGGCAAACUAGAGUUUGGUAGGGGAGACUGGAAUUCCUGGUGUAGCGGUGGAAUGCGCAGAUAUCAGGAGGAACACCAAUGGCGAAGGCAGGUCUCUGGGCCAAUACUGACACUGAGGAGCGAAAGUCUGGGGAGCGAACAGGAUUAGAUACCCUGGUAGUCCAGACCGUAAACGGUGGGCACUAGUUGUGGGAACCUUCCACGGUUUCUGCGACGCAGCUAACGCAUUAAGUGCCCCGCCUGGGGAGUACGAUCGCAAGAUUAAAACUCAAAGGAAUUGACGG
rnacentral:rRNA from 1 species